ACGGAGGGUGCUAGCGUUGUUCGGAAUUACUGGGCGUAAAGGGCGCGUAGGCGGCUUGGGAAGUCGGAUGUGAAAGCCCGGGGCUCAACCUCGGAACUGCAUACGAAACUUUCAGGCUAGAGGACGGAAGAGGAGAGUGGAAUACCCAGUGUAGAGGUGAAAUUCGUAGAUAUUGGGUGGAACACCGGUGGCGAAAGCGGCUCUCUGGUCCGGUUCUGACGCUGAGGCGCGAAAGCGUGGGGAGCAAACAG
rnacentral:rRNA from 1 species